AUAACCUACAUGGCCUCCUUGCUUUUGUUCCCAUUAUUUUGCAUUGCAGUGUGUGCUUAUCAUGCUGUUGUCAGUGGUUCUAGUUGUAUCUAUGCUGAUAUUGAGCCCAAAGAAUGGGCUCAGCAUGUCCCUCUGGCAAAUCUUUUUGUGCAAUGUAGGUUUGUUUUUUUGCUAUGUUGACUUUGGUUUGGAACUGCAAUCAUUUCAUGGAUUUUUAUUUACUUACAUAUUUCAAGUAAAUACUUUCUUUAUCGCAGCAGACACAUCUAACUUUCAACUUCAUAUCAAUCUGACUUGUUAGAAGUCAUCAACCUGUUAUUCUGAAUUAGCUAACUACAGUAUUUCUGUAGGAAGAGGAUGCAGAAGUGGAAGGCAUGCUAUAUUAGACACUACGAACAUUUUGUCAUGGAAUCAGUGUUGAUGCCAUAGCAAGGAGUCCAGAAACUAGACUUGAUGCUUUACCUCCCCAGAUAAGGUUUUGUACAGCAGCUUCUGAUAGGAAGUUAAGGCUAUUUACUUCAGACCUGCAGGACAAGAAUGAAUAUAAGACAUUUGAUGGCCACUCAGAUUACAUUAAUGAUCUGGUGUUUUCUCCCAAAGAAGGUCAAGAAGU